AUUGCGAUUCUCUGCUCGUGCGUUAUGGGGCGGAGACUUCGUGGCCUUGAAUGAAUGGCCUCCGAUCUCGCUCAACCGCCGCGAGCAUCGCGGCGGUGAACGGGCCACAACCAUUUCGAAGACCGCCUAUAAAAAAAAAAAAAAGAAAUAAAGAAAGAACCCCGAAAGGCUCACUCGUUCCGGGAACCCCCUCCUCGUUGUUCUCUCCUUAUCCUCGAAUCAGGAUGUUGCCAAAUCUGGGCACUCCGGCAACCUGAUGUUCGCCGCCGUCCUCGCUCAUGCUAGCUACCUCCGGUAUCCUCCGCCGGUGCCUCUCCUCGCCGGACUUCACCACCCGCACCCCCUACUCUCAUUAGUGAGGAGUCCGUCACAUGUGAAAUCACAAUUCUAAAUGGAUUAUACACGAGAGCUGUGGUUGUCUACAAUUUCAGAUCACCGCCAGUGAUAGAGGCGAGAGACACUUUUUGCAUCAAGGUUUCUUUUUGGGUAAAACAUACAUUUGUGUACAUAAACUGUUUUAGAAACUCUGUACUUUGUACCAUCUAGUAAGUUAUACUAGAAAUGUUAUAUAUGAAAGUUAACCAGUUUGACUGCCCUAUUAUGUGAUUAUGAGGUUUCGUGCUAUUGUGGACGGUAGUCUGCAAUAGCAUGGCCGUGUCACGGAUCAAGGUCCGAGUCGUGACAAGAAAAGCUGGAACCGCACAUGGACUCAUGCUUUCCCUCACUAACCCCUUAACAAUUAACUCAUCUUCUUGCCUUUGUAACUCUUUUUGCUCCUUAGAAUUCAUCCUAUAUACUGCCUUGUUUGGGAGACUAGCACCGGGUAUGAAGACAAUGCAAUGUUGUAUAUCUCUCAUAGGUGGUAGUCCAAAUGAAAUUUCAUCGAAAACAAUAUCAGAAAAUUUAUGGAACAAAGUUUUCAUGAUAAGGGGCAACUUACGCUUCUCCUCAUUCUCCUCUAGAACAAUAAGGGCAUAGGUUCUACAAGAUUCCACUAUGGCCUUUUCAAUUUCAAUCUUGGACAAAAGAUUAUUUCUCUCUCCUUUAGAAGGCUUGGGACUGCUCUCUAUCUUAACACAAUCUUCACCCCAUCCUUUAUAAAGGAAUACGUAUUUUUGAACCCAUCAUGUAUCACUUUUCUAUCAUAUUGCCAUGGAUGACCAAGUAAUAAGUGACAUGCAUCCAUAGGUAUAACAUCACAAAGCAACUCAUUGGAAUAUUUCUUGCCAAUAGAAAAUUCAACAAGGCACCGCUUAUGAGCCUUUACCUCAUUACUCUUGUGAAGCAAAGAAAGCUUGUAUGGUUGAGGAUGAUCUUCUGUUUUAAGCUUCAAUUUCUCCACCAUUGAUGCUGCCACAACAUUCUCAUAGCUCCCCCCAUCAAUGAUCACAUCACCGACUUUGCCAAGGGAAGUACAUCGUGUAUGAAAGAUGUUGCGAAGCCACUCGUCAUCCUCUACAUGUGCUGCGCUCAUGCUCCUACAAACCACCAGAGAUUCUCCUUAAUCGGCAUAAACCACUUCCUCUUCUUCUACCUCAUCAUAUGUUGGUUCAUCCAAAUCUUCGGCUUCGACUUCGUCUUCGCCUUCGUCUUCCUCCACAAGAGAAGUAAUUUUACAGUUACGACAAUCAGAUGCAAUAUGGCCUAUACCUUGGCAUUUGAAGCAUCGACGACCGAUAGGAGGUAAGGAACGACUAGAACCAGCUGUUAGACUUUCUGCCUUUGAAGGAAUUUUUGACAAGGACACCUUGGUGGAAUUAAUCUUGGAAAGUCCAGCAUUCCUUCAGUUAAAAGGAGUGUCUCGACUUGUAGGGCGAAAAAUCUCUCCCACGUGGCUCCUUCAAUUGCUUCUCCAUCUUUACUACAAGCUUGCAUAGCUCGUUAAAAAUCCAAUAAGGUUGCAAUUGUACCACGUCACAAAUUUCACAACGUAACCCGCCAAGAUAACAGGCUAUGGUUUGCUCAUCAGGCUCCACAACAUCACACCACAACAUUAGAUACUCAAACUCAGCAGUAUAAUUGAUAAGUGCUAAAAAUACAUAAAUUAACCAAUUUAUCAUAGCACUUAUCAUUAUUAUUAUGCACAUAUUUCAUUAUAAAAAGAUAUAUUUCCCUUCAACGUUGCAUUCUAGUAAUUUGUCAAAAGUAAUUCAGGUUUGUUUGAUUUUGGGUCGAAUUCUACGUAUGCAGGUUGGGUCAAACCCAUCAUCUGGUUCAUAACCAUGAAGCCUGAUCACGCUAGAGCACACGUUGCAACCAAUCCGAGUCCCUCUCUAGAGCCCGUUCAAAGAACAAAGCCGGGAUCUCCCGCGCCUCACGAAUCAGUUUCUCAUCCCAUGAAGCAUGCUCUUAUCCCCUCAUGAAUCCAGCCUUACCCCUUGCUUCGGAACAAAGUCUCUAGUGUCCACAUCCCAUGUUGUUCUCAUACCUUCCACGUCAUUCCUCUUC